GAUUGGACAGCCGCGGAUGGAAGCCGAAAGGCUCCAGAUGAGGAAAGUCCGGGCUCCACAGGGCAGGGAUAACGGGUAACGCCCGCCGAGGGUAACCUCAGGACAAGUGCAACAGAGAGAUACCGCCUCCGCCCCCAAACAGGGCUCCCAUCAAAACCCAGCGAAAGCGGGUUUGAUGGGAAAGAGAAGAUUCCCCAUGGCGUGCGAUCUUUUCCGCUUGCGGAAAAGGGAGCGCCUCCAUGGGUGAAUCGACGAGGCAAGGGUGAAAAGGUGCGGUAAGAGCGCACCCGGCCCAUGGCAACAUGGGUUUUACGAUGUAAACUCUAUCCCGGAGCAACGCCGUGGAGGGACACGCAGGUCUGCCCGACCGUCCCGAGGAGGCGGCUUGAUCCCGUAAGCAAUUGCGGGGCUAGAUAGAUGGCUGUCAAAACAGAACCCGGCUUAUAGA
rnacentral:RNase_P_RNA from 1 species